GAUGAACGCUGGCGGCGUGCUUAACACAUGCAAGUCGAACGAUGAAGCUCCAGCUUGCUGGAGUGGAUUAGUGGCGAACGGGUGAGUAACACGUGAGUAACCUGCCCUUGACUCUGGGAUAAGCCUUGGAAACGAGGUCUAGUACCGGAUAGGAGCACUCAUCGCAUGGUGGGUGUUGGAAAGAAUUUCGGUCAUGGAUGGACUCGCGGCCUAUCAGCUUGUUGGUGAGGUAAUGGCUCACCAAGGCGACGACGGGUAGCCGGCCUGAGAGGGUGACCGGCCACACUGGGACUGAGACACGGCCCAGACUCCUACGGGAGGCAGCAGUGGGGAAUAUUGCACAAUGGGCGAAAGCCUGAUGCAGCGACGCCGCGUGAGGGAUGACGGCCUUCGGGUUGUAAACCUCUUUCAGUAGGGAAGAAGCGAAAGUGACGGUACCUGCAGAAGAAGCACCGGCUAACUACGUGCCAGCAGCCGCGGUAAUACGUAGGGUGCGAGCGUUAUCCGGAAUUAUUGGGCGUAAAGAGCUCGUAAGCGGUUUGUCGCGUCUGCCGUGAAAGUCCGGGGCUUAACUCCGGAUCUGCGGUGGGUACGGGCAGACUAGAGUGCAGUAGGGGAGACUGGAAUUCCUGGUGUAGCGGUGGAAUGCGCAGAUAUCAGGAGGAACACCGAUGGCGAAGGCAGGUCUCUGGGCUGUAACUGACGCUGAGGAGCGAAAGCAUGGGGAGCGAACAGGAUUAGAUACCCUGGUAGUCCAUGCCGUAAACGUUGGGCACUAGGUGUGGGGACCAUUCCACGGUUUCCGCGCCGCAGCUAACGCAUUAAGUGCCCCGCCUGGGGAGUACGGCCGCAAGGCUAAAACUCAAAGGAAUUGACGGGGGCCCGCACAAGCGGCGGAGCAUGCGGAUUAAUUCGAUGCAACGCGAAGAACCUUACCAAGGCUUGACAUGUUCUCGAUCGCCGUAGAGAUACGGUUUCCCCUUUGGGGCGGGUUCACAGGUGGUGCAUGGUUGUCGUCAGCUCGUGUCGUGAGAUGUUGGGUUAAGUCCCGCAACGAGCGCAACCCCUGUUCUAUGUUGCCAGCACGUGAUGGUGGGGACUCAUGGGAGACUGCCGGGGUCAACUCGGAGGAAGGUGGGGACGACGUCAAAUCAUCAUGCCCCUUAUGUCUUGGGCUUCACGCAUGCUACAAUGGCCGGUACAAUGGGUUGCGAUACUGUGAGGUGGAGCUAAUCCCAAAAAGCUGGUCUCAGUUCGGAUUGGGGUCUGCAACUCGACCCCAUGAAGUUGGAGUCGCUAGUAAUCGCAGAUCAGCAACGCUGCGGUGAAUACGUUCCCGGGCCU
rnacentral:rRNA from 1 species